ensembl:rRNA 5S_rRNA 5S ribosomal RNA
GUCCACGGACACACCACCCUGAAUGUGCCUGAUCUCAGAAGCUAAGCAGGGUCGGGCCUGGUUAGUACCUGGAUGGGAGACUGCCUGGGAAUACUGGGUGCUGCGGUUU